rnacentral:lncRNA from 1 species
UUAGUUUUAAAAAUUUUCAAAGGGUAUGGCAGCCAUGGCGGAAAUCGGAACAGAGAUUUUGGUUCGCGAAUACCUGUUGAUGAAACAUCUCCUCUAUUUUCUGCCAUAAUUCUGAAGCAGAUGCAGUUCCUCUAGGCAAUCUGAAUUAGCGAUGGAGAAAGAUUUGUUGUUAUCAAGGCGCACACAUAAGCAUCAGAUCUAUCCCAAGCAAUUCUAGCUUCAACUUCACUUGGUGGAACAACUUCACAAUUCAGAUGAUGAUGAAUCUGUCAUGAUUGAUAAGGAGACAAACAGAUUAAAGACGAAAUUUGAAGAAGAGAAGAACAAAUUUUGAAGAUGAGAUUUGAAAAUGAUUGAUCGGAAAGAAUGAAAAUUUCGCCGGAAAAAAUGGAAGUCUUGCCUGAGAUUGAACAACAUGCCAGAAUCAAGUCACCAGAAUCAAGAGCAUAUGCUCUGAUACCAUGUAAAUCAACAGAAUUGUAAGAGAUAGUAAACAGUUUCUCAUUAGUCUUAAUAUGA